GUCCAAGUAAUUGACGAUUUGGUUGUUAACUUCGGCAGUGAUCUUAAAGCCAAGUUUGUGAAAGCCAAGUUUGUGAUCACUGCCGAAGUUAACAACCAAAUCGUCAAUUACUUGGAC